AUCUAAAGGGGCCAAUUGUGAAGGACUUUAGCCAUAGGAAAAUGCAUGAAUAGAGAGGUUUUUUUACUUAGAACUUCAGAAGCACUCUGCAACAUCACACAGGGGAAGAACCACAGACCUGCGUUUUCGUACAUUAUAUUUGUGUAUUAUACGUUUAUUCACAUCUUUGUCUUUCAUCCACCAUCAUAACCAGCCAUGAGGGCAUCGUUGAUAUUUCUAUUUGUGAUACUGAUGGGUGACCAAAGUCAAUGCCAAAGUGGGGAUUAUGAAAUUGAAUACGAACAUGAACCGGGUCCAGACAUCCUGGGACUGAUCAAACAGACUGCACUGGGCAAGGAAAUCAGUGACAAGAUCUCAGAGAGUGUGGAUUCAAUCAAUCAAUAUGCCAAAGACGUGGGAAGUAAGGCCCAGUCUAUGUUUGAUGACCUGGGUCGAACAGCUGGACGUGAAGCCAUCCGUUUUGAGUCCGAGAUCUAUAAGCAUGCCGAACGACAGGCGAACGACACUCUUCAAGAGAUCCAGAACAACGCCAUUGCUGCUGUCCAAAACGUCCACGGCCGGCUAACGCAGAGUGCUGGGGACAUGCGGAAGAUGACUGAGUCACUCAUCGGGUCGGUCGCACAGUCCCUGCAGACUCAUCUUGUCGUGUUUUGGGAGUCACUGACAAAAGGAAAUGAAACGCACCCUCUGUUCCAGUGAGAUGCCCAAUGCCAGUGUGAUGGAGGCCCAUGAGUGUGCAUGUCAAUCUUACCUAGAUUAGGUGGGCCAUAACAGCUUAAUACUAUUUAUGAUGUGAAUGAUAAUCUUGCUCUCUCAUUUUUAUCACAACAAAUUCAUCUAGCAGCAGUUUUUCAUUGCUGUUUGUAUUCCUCAAUAACUGAAUGGAGUGUUAAGAGUUGAAUGCUAAGUACACAGAGUGCAAUAAACUCUACUCUGAAACUGUUCUCUCA
rnacentral:lncRNA from 1 species